rnacentral:rRNA from 1 species
UACGUAGGGGGCGAGCGUUGUCCGGAUUUAUUGGGCGUAAAGAGCUCGUAGGUGGUUUGGUAAGUCGGAUGUGAAAUCUCCAGGCUCAACCUGGAGGGGUCAUUCGAUACUGCCAUGACUAGAGUUCGGUAGGGGAGUGUGGAAUUCCUGGUGUAGCGGUGAAAUGCGCAGAUAUCAGGAAGAACACCCGUGGCGAAGGCGGCUCUCUGGGACGGUACUGACGCUGAGACGCGAAAGCGUGGGGAGCGAACAGG